rnacentral:rRNA from 1 species
GUAGGUGGCAAGCGUUGUCCGGAAUUAUUGGUCGUAAAGCGCGCGCAGGCGGUUCUUUAAGUCUGAUGUGAAAGCCCACGGCUCAACCGUGGAGGGUCAUUGGAAACUGGAGAACUUGAGUACAGAAGAGGAAAGCGGAAUUCCACGUGUAGCGGUGAAAUGCGUAGAGAUGUGGAGGAACACCAGUGGCGAAGGCGGCUUUCUGGUCUGUAACUGACGCUGAGGCGCGAAAGCGUGGGGAGCAAACAGGGAUUAGAUACCCUGGUAGUCCACGCCGUAAACGAUGAGUGCUAAGUGUUAGGGGGGUUUUCCGCCCCCUUAGUGCUGCAGCUAACGCAUUAAGCACUCCGCCUGGGGAGUACGGCCGCAAGGCUG